rfam:Aeromonas schubertii strain ATCC 43700 Scaffold8, whole genome shotgun sequence.
CUUGGCAUCCUGCUUGCGGUCUUUGAUGGCAUUACCCACCGCAUGGAGCAGGUGAGUCUUACCGAGACCGGUACCGCCGUA